GACGGAGGGUGCUAGCGUUGUUCGGAAUCACUGGGCGUAAAGGGCGCGUAGGCGGCCUUGCAAGUCGGUUGGUGAAAGCCCGGGGCUCAACCCCGGAGGUGCGGCCGAGACUGCAGGCUGGAGGGCCGAAGAGGAGGGUGGAAUACCCAGUGUAGAGGUGAAAUGUAGAUAUUGGGUGGAACACCGGUGGCGAAAGCGGCUCUCUGGUCCGGACCUGACGCUGAGGCGCGAAAGCGUGGGGAGCAAACGGG
rnacentral:rRNA from 1 species